rnacentral:lncRNA from 1 species
ACGCCAAACUCCGGCGCGCCGCGAGACUCGCGUCCUCGCUGUCCCCGAGGGGCCCCACCCCUUCCCGGUUCUAACCUGCGACCUGGCCAGAGGCAAGGUGAAUGGGAAGAUGGAGAUGGAUGUUGAGGGAGUUUCUCCGCGCCCGGAGCCCAUCCCCCGCUCCCAGGGGGCUGGCGGAGCCUGCCAGGCGCCGCCACAGCCGCCCCAGCCCCAGCCGCCGCCUCAGCAGCUGGCUCAGGAUGAACUGCCCGGCGAGAGUGCAGGCGCUGAGGACAGCGACGAUCCCGAGACGAGACCCAACGGCGAGAAAGGAGAGAGCAAGUAUUUCAGUGACAUCAUCCACUCAGGAGAGUUGGGGCGAGGCUGGCUGAGGUUCUCAAGGAGCUGAGUUUUGAGUUCAGGUGCUCGUGUAGCAGUGGAAUGAUGCCUCCUGACCUUUCAGACCUUUGAGACCUCUGGGCGGUCUUAGAAAUCACUUCAAGCCUCCAGUCCAGGAUACGACUGCCUAGGGGAAUUCCAGGGAAAGGUGGCAGAGAUGCCAUGGACUACAAGGUGAUGAAUACCACUAUGAGCUCACUACAAGAUCUCAAAGAUUUCAAGCCACUGGCUGUUACAAAGCAUAAAGCCACCCUUCUGGAGCAGCGGCGGGAGGCAGGCUGGGAGGAGGCCCCAAGUUUUGGCCAGACGAUAGACCACCUCCUUAGGUGUCCGGGGAGCUGCUGAAACAUAAUGAGGAAGAUGCUGCUGAUCCAAAGGAUAAAAACACAGAAACUAGAACCAAGAAGCACCUAAAGUGGACUCAUGCCCAGCAUCCCUGCAGACUGACUUUCUCUGAGCUAUAGUUCUGCAUUGGACUGUUUUUCCUUUGCUAUCACCUGCCCAACACACAAUCCUGGAUGCUUUUGAUUGGUUGGAUUUCUUUUUUUUUUUUCCUGCCUUUUCUUUUUCUUUCCUUGACCCUGGGAAUUAUAAACGAGAAAUUGCUUUAAAAAGUAUUGUUCUGUGCUAAAAUUAGCCUUGUUUAUGAACAAGUUUUAUCCCUAGGGAUUUCCUGAAUUGCAAUCCCAGAUUACCUUGUAAAUGGGGCUGUGUUGUUUGAUUUGUAUAGUACUGAUCUGUAGGUUAAAAUACGUUUCCUUUCUUUUGUUUCAUUCUUUUUUUAAAAGUCUGGAUCCAGGUAAUGGCCUGAGUCACAUUUGCUUAGCUACUGAAGCGAUCUCAAUAUGUUAUCGCUUAGAGUUGAAACAUAAUCAAACAUACGUUAUACCUGGGGCUCUUGCACACUAUUUGAUAUAUAUAUGUUACUCUACAAAGAAACACAAACCUUGUAUGUUGAAAUGUAAUUCCUGUUUGAUCCUGCAGCUAGAAUGCUAAAGAAAUUGCAAAUAUCAAAAGUGACUUCAAAUACCCUGAAUAUAAGCUAGUCAACAGUAAGUGGAUGGUUCCAGAAUACCAUAUUCUAAGACAAAGCAGGAAUUAGAGAUCAACUGACCUCAUCCAUAAUGUUGCUCAGGUCUGUCUGUGGAUCUGUCCAUUUUGGAGUAAAAAACAAGGCAUGCUUCUGUGAUUGUGUUUAUGAAAACUGUAGUAUUUCAGAUUUAUGUUUUGCAAUUGUGCCUGCCUUGCAAUAAAACACCUUCAGUUGACUCAGCAAAAAAAAAAAAAA